rnacentral:lncRNA from 1 species
CCAGUCACUCACUGAUAGUAGCACCAGCUUUUCAGGUUUGCAAUGUGAAUUGAAGACCGUCAGCUCUCCAAGGCUCCUUAGGCCCCCUGCAUUACAGUAGGACUCCUGCGGUACCCAGCCUCAAACACUUAUCAGCUCCUGAGUUUUCAGCUUCCCCCAUAAGAGAGCCAUCCUUGGACUACUCUGGCAGUACCAUGUUAGCCAAUCUAGCUGAGUUCUCUGCCAUCAGAUGGACUUUCCUCUGGCUUCGCUGUUACCGACUCUUGCGCUGUGGUGAGGGGUGAUUGCCCUCCUUCUGAGUACUCACAGACCUCAACUCCCAACAAUCCUAAGGACAGCAAGAGACCCCGGGGGUUGCUGUACAGUGAUAGAGCAAAUUAGUGAAACAAUAAAUUAGGCAGACUUUUGGCUGGAAGGAGAAAUACCUAAACUGAGCUUGAUAAAAUACUAAAAUACGCAUUAUACUAUCUCUCAGGGAAUUUAAGUAUUUGAAGAAUUUUCUCUCUUACUUGUACACCACUCACCAUUUCAAAGAAAUGCACA